ACCUUGAGACACCGGUGAAGACGAUACUUUACCGUCGAACUCCCGUGUCUCAGAUUCUUCCAAAAUUGAUGUUUUAACAUUCUCAUCAGGUAAGUUAUGUACUUUAUCCUCAUUUCUCUUCACGGUAAGAUCAGUUUCCGCUCCUUGAGACACCGGUGAUGAUGAUACUUUACCGUCAAAUUCCCUUGUCUCAGGUUCUUCCAAACUUGAUGUUUUAACAUUCUCAUCAGUUAAGACAUGUACUUUAUCCUCAUUUGUCUUCACGACAAUAUCAGUUUCCACUCCUUGAGACACCAGUGAUGAUGAUACUUUACCGUCGAAUUCCCUUGUCUCAGGUUCUUCCAAACUUGACGUUUCAACAUUCUCAUCAGGUAAGACAUGUACUUUGUCCUCAUUUCUGUUCACGACAAUAUCAGUUUCCACUCCUUGAGACACCGGUGAUGAUGAUACUUUACCGUCGAAUUCCCUUGUCUCAUGUUCUUCCAAACUUGAUGCUUUAACAUUCUCAUCAGGUAAGACAUGUACUUUAUCCCCAUUUGUCUUCACGGCAAGAUCAGUUUCCACUCCUUGAGAGCCCAAUGGUUUCUCCAGUAAAUUAUUUCCAGUAUCUCCGCUUUGAA
rnacentral:lncRNA from 1 species